CCUACGGGAGGCAGCAGUGAGGAAUAUUGGUCAAUGGGCGAAAGUCUGAACCAGCCAAGUCGCGUGAGGGAUGAAUGCCCUAUGGGUUGUACACUUCUUUUAUAUGGGAAUAAAAUGUUCGCCGUGUGCUAUUUUGUAUGUACCCUAUGAAUAAGGAUCGGCUAACUCCGUGCCAGCAGCCGCGGUAAUACGGAGGAUCCGAGCGUUAUCCGGAUUUAUUGGGUUUAAAGGGCGCUUAGGUGGAUUGUUAAGUCAGUGGUGAAAGUUUGCGGCUCAACCAUAGAAUUGCAGUUGAAACUGGGAGUCUUGAGUACAGUAGAGGUGGGCGGAAUUCGUGGUGUAGCGGUGAAAUGCUUAGAUAUCACGAAGAACUCCGAUUGCGAAGGCAGUUCACCGGACUGUAACUGACACUGAGGCUCGAAAGUGUGGGGAUCAAACAGGAUUAGAUACCCCUGUAGUC
rnacentral:rRNA from 1 species